rnacentral:rRNA from 1 species
UACGGAGGGUGCAAGCGUUAUCCGGAUUCACUGGGUUUAAAGGGUGCGUAGGUGGGCAGUUAAGUCAGUGGUGAAAUCUCCGGGCUCAACCCGGAAACUGCCAUUGAUACUAUCUGUCUUGAAUAUCGUGGAGGUAAGCGGAAUAUGUCAUGUAGCGGUGAAAUGCUUAGAUAUGACAUAGAACACCAAUUGCGAAGGCAGCUGACUACGCAUAUAUUGACACUGAGGCACGAAAGCGUGGGGAUCAAACAGG